CACGUAGGGACCGAGCGUUGUCCGGAUUUAUUGGGCGUAAAGCGCGCGUAGGCGGCUGUCCACGUCGGAUGUGAAAGCUCGGAGCUCAACUCUGAGAGGCCAUUCGAUACGGGACAGCUAGAGGCAGGUAGGGAGAUCGGAAUUCCUGGUGUAGCGGUGAAAUGCGCAGAUAUCAGGAGGAACACCGGUGGCGAAGGCGGAUCUCUGGGCCUGUCCUGACGCUCAGGCGCGAAAGCUGGGGGAGCAAACAGGAUUAGAUACCCUGGUAGU
rnacentral:rRNA from 1 species